AUAUUUUUUCGGAAAUCCAAAAUACAAAUCCGAAGCCAAGAAAGAAUAAUAAUAAAAAAGAGAGAUGUGAGGAAAUGAUGAGUGGAGUUCUUGGGAGGGCUCAGAUCUGGAAGGGGCCUCGCCUGAAGCAGUAGCGACACGCGUUAAUGGCAGCCGUCAAAGCACUGAGUGGGGGAGACAGACAGAGAGGUAAGCUUUUUCUUUUUCUUUUUCUUUUUCUUUUUCUAUUUGGUUUGCUAUGAAUUUCUUUUUAAUAGACGGCUUAUUUAUUUAUUUAUUUGGUCUAAGACAAUGGACAGGUGGUUAUGCUCAAUCAUAGAUGUUCAAAGGUGAUGUGCUGUGUUGGUCUUCCUUUUCUUUCCUUUCUCCUCUUUUUAUUUUUAUUUUUUGUUUUUAUAUUCUUUUUAUAGAAUCUUUUUAAAUUUAUUUAAUUCGUGUUUAUAAAUUAAUUUUAGUUUAUAUUAUUUUUAAUUAUUAAUUCUAGGCAUAAUGUCAAAUUUUGUCUUUAAUAUUUUAUUUUUUUGAAGUUAAAUUUGUUCCUCAAUUUUUCAAAAAAAAAUUUAAUUUAAUUAUCAAGCUUUUAGAAAGUGUUAAAUUAUUUUUUUAAUUGAAAAUAUUUAUUAAAAUAU
rnacentral:lncRNA from 1 species